rnacentral:rRNA from 1 species
UGCAGUCGAGCGCUGAUUACAGGGUAGCAAUAUUCUGUGGUCGGAGCGGCGCAAGGGUGCGUAACACGUGGGUAAUCUGCCAUGAAGUUUGGAAUAACUUGCUGAAAGGCGAGCUAAUACCGGAUGUGAAAAUUGGAAGGCAUCUUUUGAUUUUCAAAGCUGGGGACCGUAAGGCCUGGCGCUUCAUGAUGAGCCCGCGGCCUAUCAGCUAGUUGGUGAGGUAACGGCUCACCAAGGCUAAGACGGGUAGCUGGUCUGAGAGGACGACCAGCCACACUGGAACUGAGACACGGUCCAGACACCUACGGGUGGCAGCAGUCGAGAAUUUUUCACAAUGGGCGCAAGCCUGAUGGAGCGACGCCGCGUGGGGGAUGAAUGGCUUCGGCCCGUAAACCCCUGUCAUUUGCGAGCAAUUCGCAUUAUUUAAAAGAUGAUGCGUUGAUAGUAGCGAAAGAGGAAGGGACGGCUAACUCUGUGCCAGCAGCCGCGGUAAUACAGAGGUCCCGAGCGUUGUUCGGAUUCACUGGGCGUAAAGGGUGCGUAGGUGGCGAGGUAAGUCGGAUGUGAAAUCUCGGAGCUCAACUCCGAAAUGGCAUUGGAAACUACCUUGCUCGAGGGUUGGAGGGGGGACUGGAAUGCUUGGUGUAGCAGUGAAAUGCGUAGAUAUCAAGCGGAACACCAGUGGCGAAGGCGAGUCCCUGGACAACUCCUGACACUGAGGCACGAAAGCUAGGGGAGCAAACAGGAUUAGAUACCCUGGUAGUCCUAGCCGUAAACGGUGCUUGCUUGCUGUAAAAGGAAUCGACCCCUUUUGUGGCGGACCCAACGCGUUAAGCAAGCCGCCUGGGAAG